rnacentral:rRNA from 1 species
AGUGAACGCUGGCGGUAGGCCUAACACAUGCAAGUCGAACGGCAGCACCGUAAGAGCUUGCGCUUACGGGUGGCGAGUCGCGUACGGGUCAGGAAUACAACGGAAUCUACUUUUUCGUGUGGGAUAAGGUAGGGAAACUUACGCUAAUACCGCAUACGCUCUAGGGUUGUAAGCAUGGGAUCUUCGGACCUUGCGCGAUUGAAUGAGCCGAUGUCGGGUUAGCUAGUUGGCGGGGUAAAGGCCCACGCAGUCGAGGAUCCGUAGCUGGUGUGAGAGGAGGAUAAGCCACAUUAGAACGGAGACAGGGUCAAGACUCCUACGGGAGGCAGCAGUGGGCAAUAUUGGGCAAUGGGGGCAAGCCUGGGCCAGCCGUACGGCGCAGGUGAAGAAGGCCUUCGGGUUGUAAAGACCUUUUGUUGGGAAAGAAAAGCAGCAGGUUAAUACCCCGCUGUAGUGACGGUACCCGAAGAAUAAGCACCGGCUAACUUCGUG